CUUGUACUUCCUCCGUUCCAAAUUACUCGUCGCAGAAAUGGAUGUAUCUAGAACUAAAAUACAUCUAGAUACAUCCAUACCCGCGACAAGUAAUUCAAAACGGAGGGAGUAGAAA
rfam:Triticum aestivum genome assembly, contig: Triticum_aestivum_CS42_TGACv1_scaffold_195978_3AL